AUGAGCCCCUGUCAGAAAACAGGAGCCCCUGAACCGCUGAGAGCUGGCCCUCCUCCGGAGCGGAUUCGCCUGGUGCUGCCGGUGGGAUCGAUUGCAGGGGAGCAYGUUGACCUGCCGAAAAGAGGGGAGCUUUGCCCAACUCCUGGUCUCCGUGAGCCUCGCUCUGAAAAAGCAACAACAAAAUGCUCUGCUUGGGCUGGCCAGGUCUCGAGGCUACACCAGGCUCCCAGCCAACCUCUCGGAGUGUGCUAUUUCUGAGGAAAAACCAUGGGAGUUUUUCACUCUGCCUCACCAGAGCUUCCCCUGUGUUUGCUUGGCGACAGAGGUGGCUUUUGCUAAGAGGAUGACCAGGUUGCCCAUCCUGGUGAGGCAAGAGGCCAGGAGCAGGUGCCACGUCUUGCAGUGACCCACGUGGAAAAGAGCUCAUGGAUGAUGCCUGGGUCAAGCGGGAAGCUUCCAGCCCCAACUACUGUCACCUGCUUGGGGAAAGCUGACACCCUCCUGGUUACACAAGGAGGCCACGUGAAGACCAGCAAGAGCAGGAAACGCUCCUGUUCCUGGUAGCUGGCGACUGUGAGAUUGUGUAACUCCUUGGCAGAAGUGCCUGUGUUAUCUAUUUGCAAUCUAUUGUCCUCCRCUAACAGCUUUGCGUUCACAUCAUCAAUGGCAUUUAAUCACCUGUCUUCUCUUAAUUACGCUGGGAUGCAGGCGUUUAGCUCAUCCACCAAGGCAAGCCGCUGGGUUUGCAUGUGUUGCUGGCUGAGGAGGUGCACGAGGACAUGCAGUGACGUUUAAGCAGCUGUUUAAACCAUGCAUGGCCAUGCUGAGCCGCUGAUCCCCACCGCAGUAUUUGUGCUAACAGUGGUUAACUCUGCAUCCCCAAAAAGAAAGCAGGAGUAGAGGCCRGAAUUCCCAGACGCAGCAGUGGGAUGAGGCCUGGAUUUUGCAAGCCAAGUGAACCUGCAGACGUUGAAUUGGGGAGAGUCUCC